rnacentral:rRNA from 1 species
UACGGAGGGUGCAAGCGUUAUCCGGAUUCACUGGGUUUAAAGGGUGCGUAGGUGGGUUGGUAAGUCAGUGGUGAAAUCCCCCGAGCUUAACUUGGGAACUGCCAUUGGAUAUCAGUCUUGAAUACCGUGGAGGUCAGUGGAAUAUGUCAUGUAGCGGUGAAAUGCUUAGAUAUGACAUAGAACACCAAUUGCGAAGGCAGCUGGCUACACGAAUAUUGACACUGAGGCACGAAAGCGUGGGGAUCAAACAGG